ensembl:miRNA
AGUGACCAGAAGACUAGAGUGUGAGCCUAUGCGCGGGCAGGGCCACCAGAGGGCUCCUUGGUCUAGCGGUAACGCCA